UUGGGCGUAAAGCGCGCGCAGGCGGUCCUUUAAGUUUGAUGUGAAAGCCCACGGCUCAACCGUGGAGGGUCAUUGGAAACUGGGGGACUUGAGUGCAGAAGAGAAGAGUGGAAUUCCACGUGUAGCGGUGAAAUGCGUAGAGAUGUGGAGGAACACCAGUGGCGAAGGCGACUCUUUGGUCUGUAACUGACGCUGAGGCGCGAAAGCGUGGGGAGCAACAGGAUUAGAUACCCUGGUAGUCCACGCCGUAAACGAUGAGUGCUAAGUGUUAGAGGGUUUCCGCCCUUUAGKGCUGCAGCAAACGCAUUAAGCACUCCGCCUGGGGAGUACGGCCGCAAGGCUGAAACUCAAAGGAAUUGACGGGGGCCCGCACAAGCGGUGGAGCAUGUGGUUUAAUUCAAAGCAACGCGAAAAACCUUACCAGGUCUUGACUUCUCCUGACAAUCCUAAAGAUAGGACGUUCCCCUUCGGGGGACAGGAUGACAGGUGGUGCAUGGUUGUCGUCAGCUCGUGUCGUGAGAUGUUGGGUUA
rnacentral:rRNA from 1 species